CAGCCGUAAACUAUGCUCGCUAGGUGUCAGGCAUGGCGCGACCGUGUCUGGUGCCGCAGGGAAGCCGUGAAGCGAGCCACCUGGGAAGUACGGCCGCAAGGCUGAAACUUAAAGGAAUUGGCGGGGGAGCACAACAACGGGUGGAGCCUGCGGUUUAAUUGGAUUCAACACCGGAAACUCACCAAGGGCGACUGUUACAUGAAAGCCAGGCUAAUGACCUUGCUUGAUUUUCAGAGAGGUGGUGCAUGGCGUAGACGUCU
rnacentral:rRNA from 1 species